CCAAAAACCGAACCAUUUAUCGAUCUUUAUACUUGGUUCACAAACUAAAAAAUUUAAGUUUGUUUUGACUAUUAAAAUGAGUUACAUUUCACUCUAUUGAAAAAUGUGUUUCUUGAAAUAUUCUGACUGCUUUCACAUGCAUACUAAAUGAAUACACCUGAUCAAGUAUAAUAUGGCCAUUUAUCAAAAAAUGCUGACCUUCAUUUUUUGCCAAACUCCAAAGAAGUGAAAGAAAUUUAAAUAGAUCGUCUGACAGUUGGCCCAAAGGCGUCAAAGUGAAAUGAGAAAGGAAAAGAAAAGAAAAGAAAUCAGUGCCAAUGAAAACGAAAAAGGUUUGAAUAAAGCGCGUGGCCCGAACUUCUCAGAACCAAAACAUAACGAAAACAUGAAAACCCAACAAAAAGAUGUUUGUAAGAAAACCAGAAUCAACUGCGACAAGAAACGGAAACAACAUUAAAGUCGAUGUCGACCCAUUUCGUUUGAGCUUUUGAAGAAAGUAA